AGUGAACGCUGGCGGUAGGCCUAACACAUGCAAGUCGAACGGCAGCACAGUAAGAGCUUGCUCUUACGGGUGGCGAGUGGCGGACGGGUGAGGAAUACAUCGGAAUCUACUUUUCGUGGGGGAUAACGUAGGGAAACUUACGCUAAUACCGCAUACGACCUACGGGUGAAAGCAGGGGAUCUUCGGACCUUGCGCGAUUGAAUGAGCCGAUGUCGGAUUAGCUAGUUGGCGGGGUAAAGGCCCACCAAGGCGACGAUCCGUAGCUGGUCUGAGAGGAUGAUCAGCCACACUGGAACUGAGACACGGUCCAGACUCCUACGGGAGGCAGCAGUGGGGAAUAUUGGGCAAUGGGCGCAAGCCUGAUCCAGCCAUACCGCGUGGGUGAAGAAGGCCUUCGGGUUGUAAAGCCCUUUUGUUGGGAAAGAAAAGCAGCAGGUUAAUACCCCGCUGUUCUGACGGUACCCAAAGAAUAAGCACCGGCUAACUUCGUG
rnacentral:rRNA from 1 species